GGGUAGAUCGCUACUGUUUUGCCCCGAGGAUCGCGCUGCGCUGGCGCACUGGCGGCCACCGAUCAAUAACGUGCUCGCUAGUUCAGUUCCUGCUUCGUUUCCUGUCUGUUCUGCUCGCAAGACGCAACUGCCUCGGUCCAAUGCGAACGAGCGACUUUAGAAAAGACGGGGACGCGGCUGAAACUCGAGGUGGCACUCGGAGCGCGACGAUAUCCUUCAAAAGCGACUCGACUUUAUACGGCAAAGAAGUAGCGCGCUAUAGCGAAAGAAAGGAAGAGAUAAGCGAGGAUGGCACAACUCCCUCGCUUCUGCGGCUGGUGCAAUCGAGUUCUUUCGCAUUGAGUAACGUCUGACGUAACUACAGAACUGGAGAACGUGGAACCGGUUCUUCCGAAUUUUGUCAAAAUUCACGACGAUGGAAAAAGUCGAAGGUAGAACGAUACGACAGACCUAUCUUUAUGUCCGAUUAUCGCGCGCGAGAGACCCUCUAGACUCUAAACGAUCAGCGUACGAUACGCGUUGUUUAGCUGGAAACGCUCAAAUAUCUGGAAAAAUACGAGACGAUACGGAUAAAUUUUUCGAAUGGAUAGUCGUAUGGUAUUUGUCGUCUGUUUGACUCGGCGAUGACAUUGACCUUCGUCCUAGGCGAAAGGUAAAGGCGACUAUUGUUAAGGCUUUUAAACGGAUGUCACCAUUUCUGAACGUUAUCAGAAUACAACAAACUCUUAUCUUGCGCGCGCCGCCUGCGUUAAGGUGACCUGAUCCGCAACACGGCGACGCGUGAACGUGUUUUUCGCAGCGCCGCUAUUGCUAUUGCUAUGGUAUCGCCGAAACGCAAGCUUUCCAACACCGCCAAAACGAGUUUCUUUGGUUUGUUUCUGUCGCAUCGCCUGGCUUCUUUUCCUAUUCGUUCUUCCAAGUAGAGAGAUCCUACGCGUACGUACAUCUUGAUGGUUGGUUUUUCUUUUUCGAGCGAAAGGAUAGGACACUCGACUAGGAUGCGUUGCAACGUCUCCAUUUCGCUCGUUCCGCGCAGUUUGCAAUUUACAUUGUUGUUAGUAAAAUACGUAAUACCUUUGACGCUUAUCGUCUAUCCAACUUUAGGUGGGUAAGAGGUACGCUCGAGCCCAAGUAUCUUGCAUCCGUUUUCUCUUUCAUCUAAGCAUCUAUAAGGUAUACAUAAUACGAAUAUGUAGAUAUCGUUAUUCGAGUUAGUCAAUAACCUGUCUCAUCCUAUUUCACGCUUCGUUCGUUGUGUAUUUUAAUUGCGUAUUUCGUUGAUCGCGGCCGUUAACGACCGUAAGAAAUAGUCGACGCGACCUUGAAUAAAAACCAAAGAAACAACAAAAAGGAAAACAUCGAUCGUUCCUUUAGAUUUCGUGGAUCGGACGUCUGCGUUGCAGAGGAAUGCUAACGGCCGCGUGUACGCACACCUUUUCCGGGACAGCGCGAAGCGGUAAGCCCUUUGGGAAUAAUUCUUCCGCGUACACGAGGCCGUGGAAAACAAAACCCGAUCACGUAGGUGCGCGCAUGGGCGUGAGUAUGCUCGCGACAACGUGUCCCGUUUUUGAAAUCGCCCCUACGUGAUCGAGGUAGAUCCGCUUGAAUUUCUCAGGAGGCAAGCGAUUAGCAAUCGGCCGUACCGAGACUCUGCCAAAGAUUACCAACGAGUUACGGCCCGAUAUUCUUGUCUGUUUUUUAAAUUUUACGUUGGAUUCGGUCACCAACCGAAUGCUAAUUCGCCCCAACUUACAUAACCAACACACGCGUACCUGCGAAAGCUAAUCAAAUUUCAUGGUUCUACGCUCGUUCUUCUCCUCCUCCUGCUCCUCCUGCUCCUCCUUCUGUUAUUCUUAUCGAAAGAAUAUACGAUGAGUCAGAGCUUGGAACACGAAAUGAAAAGUCGUUCGAUCGAUUUAAUCGAUUCGUUCGACGUGUACUUCCAAAUAUCGUUAAAAUAUCCUAGAACGUCCGUAUGAAUGGCUUUUCGUUGUACGUUUUAGUAGUUUAUAGUUUCGUUUAGUCCUUUAUACUAUCGUUAGUUUGUAGCUUAAUGUUACGCUUUGUAUUCGUCUCUAGAUAUUUCGUUGUUGAAUCGGAUGAAAGGAAAUAGACAGAGUGAAACGUUGUCGUCCUGCAAGAGUAAAUAGGAUAAGAACGCGUAGUUAUUUCAA